rnacentral:rRNA from 1 species
GAUGAACGCUGGCGGCGUGCCUAAUACAUGCAAGUCGAGCGAACAGAUGAGGAGCUUGCUCCUCUGACGUUAGCGGCGGACGGGUGAGUAACACGUGCAUAACCUACUUAUAAGACGUGGGGAACUACGGGAAACCGGAGCCAAUAAUGGAUAAUAUGUUCAACCGCAGGGUUCAAUAGUGAAUGACGGUUUUCCUGUCUCUAAUAGAUGGUGCCGGGCCGGAUUAGUUAGUUGGUAAGGUAACGGCCUACCAAGGCAACGGAGCGUAGCUGACCUGAGAGGGUGAUCAGGCACACUGGAACUGAGGCACGGUCCAGGAUCCCAAGGGAGGGCAGAGGGGGGAAAUCUGCAGAAAGGGGGGAAAGCCUGACCAGGCAACGCGGGUGGGGUAAGAAAGGUUUUCGGAUCGUAAAACUCUGUUAUUAGGGAAAAAAGAAUGUGUAUGUAACCAUGCUCGUCUGAAGGGUACCAAAGCAGAAAGCCCCGCCAAAUUAGGG